UCCAUCGUGGUCUAACGGUUAUGAUUCGCGUCUCUCACACGCGCGACCGGGGUUCGACUCCCCGCGAUGGAA
rfam:Auricularia subglabra TFB-10046 SS5 ATRDEscaffold_115_Cont2615, whole genome shotgun sequence.